UAUCUCGCACAUGCCCUCGCCUGUUGCCAUGUUGCUUGCCUUCCUCCAAGCGCCUUGGCCUUUGUCAAGUUGUUUGCCAUCACCCAAGCACACCUUGACCUGUUGCACGUCAUGCCAUCGACAUGCCAUCCGCAUAUUGCUUCCGCCAGCCGCAUAGGCCUGUGUCAAGGGGCAAUGCACAAUUCCUUGACACUGCCUUCGCCCCAUGCACCUAUGUCCAAGCUUAGGGGUCUAACACAUACCCACCGACCCAGCAGCUCAACAAAAAAAACCCAUCUUCUUCCCAAGGAACCCACGCGUACACACACGAAUAUACAUGUACACCUACGACCCCGUACACCACAUAGACAUCUUUUUCCUCAAGCCACCGACAACAAGAGGCAGCAGCCCAUAAUCUAGAAGCUCUAGCUUUCAAACAGCGCCGAUUCCAUCACCCUCACGUCCCCCUUUUUUUCCAAUUUUCAUGGCUUCCAAAAGCUUCAUUCACUGUGCAACCUCGGGAAGGAGGAAUAACCAUCAACUGCCUCAUCUCUUAUCCUUUCAAAAUGGGAUUUCAAAAUUCAAAAUACGACUGCGGAUUUCCCCCCAAAAUCGACCCUAAAUCCUCAUACAUAAGUCCCUCUAUAAUCACUGAUUUGGGACACGUUUUGAGACCCUCCUGUCAAAAUACAUGAAAAUUGCAUUGAAAAUUGAAUGCUAGUUUUCUUUUUUGUGUCGAUCCUCUUGUUUGAAUCAAGCUCUUGGUGGUGGAAAGAUCAUCACGCUCGACUCGUAAUUCCAGUUACUUGUCCAAUAGACUCCAUUUUCAUCCUCGCAUAUCAUUGGGUGUUGAGUCAAUCCUAUCUUGUUCGAGUUAAAGAGAAGCCGAUACAGGUCUUGGAAGACAAAAAUACAGGUGUAAAACAACUGAGAUACAGUGUGUUGUGUGUAUAAAACUGAUAUACAUUCAGCAAAAAUGGGUCUCUAGCCCAAUUCUCUGGGCAAUGAAGGAUUUGGUCCAAGAAGAGUCUAAAUUUAUAUUUUUCCCUAAUUGUUUCGAUUAUUUUCCUUGUAAAUUGUUUUGUUUUGAAUUUUGCUCAACUCUAACCUUUCAACAUAAUUAAUUCCCCAAAGGAUGAACUAUUUUCUUGGUUUACUUUACUAAA